rnacentral:rRNA from 1 species
UACGUAGGGUGCAAGCAUUAAUCGGAAUUAUUGGGCGUAAAGGGCGCGUAGGCGGAAAUGUAAGUCAGAUGUGAAAUCCUGGAGCUCAACUCCAGAACUGCAUUUGAAACUGCAUAUCUAGAGGAUAGGCGGAGAAAACGGAAUUCCACAAGUAGCGGUGAAAUGCGUAGAUAUGUGGAAGAACACCUGUGGCGAAAGCGGUUUUCUAGCUUAGACCUGACGCUGAGGCGCGAAAGCAAGGGGAUCAAACAGG